CCAAGGCUGACCAUGACCUCCGAAUACUCCUGCCUCUACCUCCCAAGGGCCUGAAUUGUAGGUAUGAGCCACUAAGGCCAGUUCAAACCCUGGUUUUCUCACUGCCAAUCAAGGGUUCUCAGCAGAACAUGUUGUCAGAAAAAAUUCUGCAAGUGGAGAAGACAGCUGCUCUCACCUAAAGGACAUUAGAGUGGACAGUUGAGAAAACAGAAGCCAAGAAGGAAGAGGAGGAACCGUACCAGAUCUGGGAGAGCGUCUGGAAGAACAAAGGCAACAGAAAGGAAGAAUGACUGCAGAUGCGCUCAUGGCUGGGGCUUCAUAUCCCAGAAGCCAUAUACUGAUAAGUGGAAAACCCAGUGCCAGGGUGGGCUACCUCUAUACAUUUCUGGACGCGGAGUCUUCUGAGGCCUCCAAAACCAUAAAAGCUGAUGUCAUGUACUAGAUAGUUUUUUGUCAACACAAGCUAAAGUCAUCUGAGAGGAAAGAACCUCAGAUAACAUUUCUCCAUGCACUGAGCUGUACAGCAGCUUGUUGGGAAUUUUCUUAACUAGUGAUUAAUGUGGGGAGGGCCCAGCCCAUUGUAUAUGGUGCUAUCCCUGGGCUGGUGGUCCUGGGUUCUAGCAGAAAGCAGAUUGAGCAAGCAAUGGGGAGCAAGCCAGUAAGCAACACCCCUCCAUGGCCUCUGCAUCAGCCCCUGACCUGUUUGAGUUCCUGCUCUGACUUGUAUGUAUGUAUGUAUGUAUGUAUGUAUAUAUGUAUAUAUUUAUGAGUACUCUGCCACAUGCCAGAAGGGGGCAUCAGAUCCCCUUUUAGAUGGUUGCCGGCCACCGUGUGGUUGCUGGAAAUUGAACUCAGGACCCCUGAAGGAGCAACCAGUGUUCCUCACUGCUGAGCCAUCUCCCCAGGCUCUGCCCUGACUUUCUUUGAUGAUGAACAUCAGUGUGGUGUAAACCAAAUAAACUUUCUCCUCCCAGA
rnacentral:lncRNA from 1 species